GGCAUGAACAAUAGAGAAUAGUAUAAAAAUGGCUUGCUUUUUGUAAUAAAUUGGUUUCACUUGAUCAUACUGAUCAUGGCGCGAUGUCCCCUUACUGAUCCUCCGCACAUUUUGGUGCCCGAACGAGGGACCCGGAGACGGCUAUUUCACGGUGGUGAGAGGUACAGUGACAGCCUUCGGGAGGUGGAGAAGCCGGUCGAAAGUAUCCUCACUGCCCCGGCAAGAAGAAAAGGUGAAUAAAGGAGCUCCAAAUUGAAGAAGAAGUGAUCUCACCCUGAUCAGAAGGAUAAUCACCACCCAAGAGACUGUAGGUUCCAGGGAAACGGACCACGGAGAGCGGCCCCACGCACAAAGACACAAGCUCAGGGAGCUGCAUGGGUGGCUCAGCCCCCUCUGGAGGACUUUACUCACUCCAAUCCGCAACUCCUGGAAGCGCCGGAAUGGACCUGGAAACCACAGUAGACAUUACCAUCGCUGACUCUGCAGUACAUCUGGUAGAGACUAAUGUAAAGGGACCUCUGGGGGAUGGGCUUAGUGCUUUUCUGUUAGGAAGAUCAUCUGCUAGCUAAAGGGGACUGGAUGUAAUUCCUGGGGUUAUUGAUCAGACUAUCAAGGGGUUAUCAAAAUUAUGGCUAGGACAUUUUUUCCUCCUGUAUCUAUCCCUAAAGGAUCACAAAUUGCUCAACUUGUUCCUUUUAAGUCUUGUGUUCCCUGUAAAGGAUUGAAGGAGUGGGGAACAGGCGGUUUUGAUUCCACAGGUAACCCAGAAGUGUAUUGGGCAAUGGACAUUACAAGAGGUAAACCAGAUAAGCUGGUAACCCUGAUAAGUCUCAAUGGUAAUUCUAUCACCAAGAAACUGACAAUUGAUACUGGAGCAGAUGUAACAAUCAUUUCAAGCACUAUAUGGCCCAAAAAUUGGCCAGUGGUUAAUCCUGUUUUGGGAAUUGCAGGGAUUGGUGGACCCAAGCCAUUAAAUUAAGCAGGGAGGUAACUACCUUUCCCAGAUGGAGUGAACGUAACAACAAGACCCUAUGUCAUGCAGACUCCCGGAAAUUUGCUAGGUUUAAUAGGCGGGGAUUUGUUAAGACAACAGAAGGGCACAAUUGUUACACAGCCUUUUUAAGAGUGGCCACUGAGGGGCAGCCAAUCCUCAAAAUUAGCCGGACUACCAAUACCCCUAUAUGGAUUGAUCAGUGGCUGCUGUCAAAGGAAAAGCUGCUCAAGGUUCAAGAGUUGGUUCAAGAACAACUUGAGGCUGGUCAUAUAAGACCAUCAGCUAGCCCAUGGAACAAGCCUAUUUCUACAAUUCCAAAAAAGAGUGGGGAAUGGAGGUUGUUGCACGAUCUUAGAGCAGUCAACGCAGUAAUGCAGAGUAUGGGAGCAUUACAACCUGGACUCCCAUCCCCUGUUUUGUUACCUGAGUCCUGGGGUUUACUGAUUAUUGAUCUCAAAGACUGUUUCUUCACUAUUUCACUACACCCUGAAGACAUCAGUCAUUUUGCUUUCUCAAUCCCUCCAUCAACAAAGAAAACCCUACAAGAGAUAUGAGUGGAAAUUUUUGCCACAAAGGAUGCGUAACUCGCCCACUAUGUGCCAGGUUUACGUAGCCUGGGCAUUAGAGCCAGUCGGGCAGCAAUUUCCUAACUGUGUCAUAUAUCAUUACAUGGAUGAUAUCUUGGUGGCAGGACAGCAAUUGGACUUUGAAAAUGUUUUAGCAAGCAUGACAACUAUUCUAGAACAGAGAGGGUUGAGAAUUGCCCCUAAAAAAAGUACAGCGUUCAGCUCCAUGGAAGUAUCUUGGGUGGCACAUUGAUCAAGCUGUAGUGAAACCUCAGAAGAUUACCAUUACUACCGAGAUAAAAAACUGUACAUGAUGUUCAAAAAUUAGUAGGAGAUAUACAAUGGAUUAGAACUAUUUGUGGAAUAACUAAUGAAGAACUUGAACCAUUAAUACAGCUGCUAGGUACCUCAUCCCGGGCAGACGAGCGCCGAUCACUGGACAGGACGCAACAACAGGCCUUGGAACAUAUAGCCUCAAAGGUUGCCACAGCACAUGCACAUCACCUGAUGGCAGGUGUCCCCGUUCAACUGAUGAUCAUCAAACGCAGCAAGGAGGGUGACCAGUAUGCCAAACAUCCUUUUGCAUUAAUUUGUCAAUGGACAGAGACUCAGGCUAAUCCUUUAACCAUUCUGGAGUGGGUAUUUUUACCUGUGCGACAGCCUAGAACCAUUACCACUCACCUAGAACUAUUUGCUCAAUUAAUCGUGAAAGGCAGAGGGAGGAUACUAGAAAUUUGGGGACAGGAACCGUACGCAAUUGCAGUACCUCUAGCCAAUGGGUAUUUAGAAUGAGGAAUUAGGCAUUCUGUUCCUUUACAAACAGCCCUUACUGAUUACGGUGGAAAAGUUCACAAUACCUAUCUGUGGCAUCGUGUGUUGUCCUUGUUAGAGCAGCAGCGGCUGGAGGACAGACCAUGGAGAUACGAGUCUCCAGUACUAGGACUAACAAUUUUUACAGACGCAGGCAAACGGUCUAAAAGGGCUGCUUGUACGUGGCAGCAAAAGGGUUCAUGGAAUCAGUAUAUAAUUCCUGGGGAGAUAGGAGAUACAUUGCAAACCUUGGAGUUGAAGGCAGUAAUUUGGGCCUUUGAGAAUUGGAACCAUCAGGUUGUUAACAUUGUUUCUGAUUCACUUCAGGUGGUUGGCUGUGUACAACGCCUCAAAAGGGCAGUAGUUAAGGAAGUUAAUAACAAACAUUUGUAUUCACUUUUAAGCCGACUACUGAGAAAUCUGAACCGACGCCAACAGGAGUAUUUCAUUACUCACGUUCGCAGUCAUCAAAAUCUCCCUGGUCUGUCUGAAGGUAAUGCUCGAGCUGAUCGGUUGGUAGCUGCUGUCUGGCCAAUGCCAACCUCUGAUAAAUUUCAACAAGCAAAAAAUUCUCAUGCUUUUUUACAUCAAUCUGCAAAGAUGUUGGCUAAACAAUUUGGUAUCCCUCUUACUGAUGCCACUGGCAUUGUAUGAUCCUCUCCAGAUUGUCAAAGGGAUGGCAUUGGCUUAGGCACCGGUGUUAACCCAAGAGGUACCCAACCUUUGCAAUUAUGGCAAAUGGAUGUAACACACGAAGCAGAAUUUGGCCAGAAGAAGUUUGUACAUGUUUGCAUUGAUACUCUUGUGUUAUAUGGGCUACCCCUUCAACAGGUGAGACAGCACGUCACGUUGAGAAACAUUUGAACAAUUGCUUUGCAGUGUUGGGAGUCCCUUUAGCCAUCAAGAUGGAUAAUGGCCCUGCUUAUUGAUCUUUAAAGUUUCAAUGUUUCUGUAAUUUAUGGGGUAUUCAACAUGAUACCGGUAUUCCACACAACUCUACAGGUCAGGGAAUUAUUGAGCGAGCCCAUCAGAUGUUCGAGGGCAUGCUGCAAAAAUAAAAAGGGGGAAUGGUAGGGGUAUCCCCGGAAGAAUAGACAGCUAAGGCUCUCUUUGUGCUUAAUUAUCUCAGAACAACAGGAGAUAGGGAUGAACCUCUUCCCAUUCUUGUGCAUCAUGCCCUCAUGCAUAGGCCAAGUGAGGAAUUACCUGACAGUAUUCAAGUCAUGUUUAAAAGCCCGGAAACCGGGAUGUGGGAAGGGCCAGCAGCAAUGAAAUUAAUGGGAAGAGGUUACAUGCGCUUACUUACAGAUAAAGGAAUUCGCUGGUUCCGGCCAAGUAGGUGAAACCUCACCUAAAGUCACACCUGCCAGCUCUGUCCAGAAGCAGAACGUCGGCGACAGCACCAACUCCAGACGCAGCUGAACCUGAUGCUCCAGCACCUGAGGGUUGAACAAUGGCUGAACUUUUUUUCCACAGCUAUUAACAGAUGUGGGCCAACUAGCUGGAUCUGGGGUUACAGUAACCAGUAACGACAGCCUACCACCAUUUCCAAUACGGGUCUUAAAUCAAAUUGAAUGAGCUUCUUCUGUUCAUGGCUAUUUUUGCAAACCAUGGAUCAGGGUCCAGUGUGUUAAGUGCAAACUGAAGUGAAGGCGAUAAGUCCGUCAGGAAAAAAAAUCUUUAUACCUCACAGGAAAAAGCAAAAAUUUAGCUCUAUUAAUUUAGAUUUAAUAGAUGUUUUAGUGUACUUAAUAUGCCUACUUUUGAGCGUGCGUUAGAAAUAUUUUUAGGGCCUAGUCAUAGAAGACAACCUCCCCCUGAACCCCUUAGAGGGAUAUUUUUAGAACGUUGGAAUUUUAGCCAGGAUUGAAACAUGGGAUCAGCAAAGUUUGCUUUGGAUUCAAUUACAAUUGGCAAAACAGGCAAUAGCAAAUCAAAUUGUAUUGCAAAUUCAGAUUACAGCUGCAGAGUGUAGGAGAGGAAUAGCAGUGCCACAACAGCAUCACGUUUCUGACAGUCAGUGGGACGACGCCAAAGAAUAUUGGCUAAAGCGUAGACGUGAUCGGCAAAGCUGGCGACAAUGGCAAUUGUCCCGCAACUAAUAUUGAUGAUAAUCAUUACAGUAAUAGGAAAAACGCAGGGCUUGCAUAACACUGAUCAGCGAACAAACAUGUGGGUUACAUGGGCUAAUCAAACAGGGCAAGAAUCAAUUUGCUUAUCAUUGGCUACACCUUCUGAUCCUUUUUGUACUUGUUUAAUUGGAGUUCCAUUAGAUUCUAUGGAAGAAUUUGGACCUUGGACUAAGGCCACAGUGCACAAAAAUUUAAAUGAUGCUUGGUUACGUUGGUGCACAGUCCAAAGGUGGAAUAUCCAGGGCGGACCAACCUCUGCAAAUUGGUGUGACGCUUAUGGGACUUCAGUGAACCCCCUGGGAGCAGAAGCUUUUACAAUUGCCCAGGGAUUGGAUAUCACUGGCACGGAGCCACAGGAGCUAGACAUCCCGGGUUCUAUGCCAGGCAAUUACUGUUUAUUUUUUGGGUAUUAUUCCGUAGGCUCAGAUUUGUUUAGCAUAAAAGAGGGAUGACCAAAAAAUGAUAGCACUUGGAUAUCCCCUGGCUCCUCAUGGUACUACAAUACCACAGAUUAUUGUAACAAUUGUAUAAGGCCUUUACCAACAGAGCAAGGUGCAGCUAAAAUGCUACCUCCUGGGGUUCUCCUCAUUUGUGGGGAGAGAGCCUGGCCUGCGGUGCCCCAGAAAGCGUUGGGAGGACCAUGUUAUUUCGGCAAACUAACAUUAUUUGCUCCUAACAUCCAUCAGGUAUUUAACAUCAGUCACAAGUCCCAGUGGUCAAGACGUAGUGUGCAUCAGUUGGGCCCUGAACGUAGAGAUGAGGUACAAUUGUGGGACUCACCAUCAGUUAUAUUGGCAUCAUUUUUCACACCAGGAGUAGCCUCCGCACAUGCCCUGACACAAUUAAGGCGGCUAGCGUGUUGGGCAGGGAAAAAAUUAACAUCACAUCCACAGUGUUAGAUGAACUCACCACUGAUGUACGUAGCAUACACCAUGCUGUGUUACAAAACAGGGCUGCCAUAGAUUUUCUAUUGCUAGCACAAGGGCACGGGUGUGAAGAUUUUGAAGGGGUGUGUUGCAUGAAUCUCUCUGAUCACUCUGAAUCAAUUCACAAGAAACUUUCGCAAAACAUCAAGAAACUUACGGUUGUUAAUAACACUGUUGAUGAGUGGUUAAAAUCUUGGGACAUUACAGGUUGGCUUAAAGACUUAGAUAGCUUUGGCGUUAUGGUUUUUUGCAUCAUUUUAGUAAUUUUGCUUAUUGUACCCUGCUUAUUACAGUGAGUGCAGAGAAUAACUGAACGUGCUAUUAAUUCAGUCUGGCUUGUGCAAAAACAGGACAGGGGAACUGUUGAGAGUUUUUUGCAGGACAAUGGACAUAUGCAACAUAUGCACAAUCCAGCCUUCAUAGAGACUGAGUAAGGUCGCCAUGUCCUUGAAGGACACGAAAGGAGAAGAACACGCUCAGAAGCAGACACUUCAGGAUGCAAAGGCAGACAAGAAAACCGCAGCGAGACGCAUGAAGAGGGAAGACUAACUAAAAUUAACUGAAAUAUUAAAAUGCGUGCGUAAAAAGGAUUUAACCAAUCAUGUAUCAGCUUGAGGCGUGAACAAUAGAGAAUAGUAUAAAAAUGGCUUGCUUUUUGUAAUAAAUUGGCUUCACUUGAUCAUACUGA